AACAGGCAAUUUCUGAGGUAACAGCAGAAAGAUUUUUUUGAUCAGGGAUCUUAUGUUUAAAAAACUAUAUUAUAGGUAGUGGGCUGUUUUAGGGAAUUUUUGAUCAAAUUAUCCGUAGUAGCAAUAUUAAUAAUGUUGUGUUUAUUCUGCGUAGUGGACUUAAAAUAAUUAUGACCAUAUCUGUUUGCUUGGUGCUUUGAUAAACUGAACGCAUAUACAUGGUACUAUAUUGUAAUGUUAUGAGCCAGGGGAAAAAAGAACUACCCUACCCAGCAUGCAACAGGAGUGAGGAGCAUGUAUAGGUUGUGUCGCCAUGACGGCAUCUUGUAUGUUGUGAUAUGCAGGCUCUGAAAGCAAAUGUUAAGAACUCAGCCAACACUCCUCGUCUGCAUUAUUGAUAAAUAGACAGACAACACAUAUACUCCGCUGCUUCACAAAGCACAAUAUGUUAAAUGUUUACUUUUACAGUUUUCUAAUUCUUCCCUUCAGAUUGACAGCAGGACAAAUCGCUGGAAGUGGGUAUGUCUCAAGCUUCUUCCACUUGGUCCACUCCAAAGCGGGCUGCAAAGGGGAAGAAGUGGAAGCAGUUGAAUGACACAUGUUGCAUUUUGUAACUGGCAACAAAGUACCAGGUAAAAAAGAUUGUGAAGCCUGCCUCCAUAAAGAACUAGUAGCUCUACAGGACAGAGAUUGGCUUGCCAUCAAGUACUACAUCCAUAACAGAAUUAUAUUAAAAAAAGGGGAAAAAAAUGUUUUCCCACAUCUUCUGUGGUAGUUUGAGUAUGUUACCAGCAAUUAAAAAAGCAAAAUAAA